GUCUGCAUUUUAGAAGAUUGCAACGACAAAGCAAUUCUCCGAUCGAUCACCGAUUCAAUUCUCUGAUAAACAUAACUCACAUUAAUUCCCUAUAUGAUUUCUGUUGCUCAUAUAUUGUUGGUGGAAUUACGAUCCGGAACGAUGAGUGAUGUAUUUGAAAGAGCAAAGGAAGCAGAGAACUGCAGAGACAGAAGUUGCAUUGAAUGAAGCUGAUGAUUUGGAAGAUGGACCUCGAGGCAAGGAGUCUGCAGCCGAGUGUGAAGGCAAUGCUUAUUGCCAAGGUGAGAGAAUACAAAACUGAUUUGAACAACUUGAAGAGCCAAGUUAAGAGAAUAACAACGCCAUAGAUCAGUCAUUCCGCCCGCGAGGAGUUGUUGGAGUCUCGAGAAACAGAUACCUUGACGGUACUUAUUACCUUUCUCUCCUAAUGUGCGUGUAUGUAUGAAUGUGAGGUCGUGGUGAGGUUCUAAUGUGCAAGUGUUCCGACUAUGAGACGGGCCUCGAAUGAUCAAAGAGGAAGGUUGUUGAUGGCAACAGGAAAGAAUAAACCAGUCGAGUGACAGAAUCAAGUCGAGUAGAAGAACAGUGCUCGAAACAGAGGAGCUUGGUAUCACGAUUCUCCAAGACUUGCAUCAACAACGCCAGUCUCUUCUACAUGCCAGUAACAAUUUGCAUGCGGUGGAUGAAACUAUUACCAACAGUAAGAAGGUUCUGGUAGCCAUGACAAGAAGGAUGAGCAGAAACAAAUGGAUCAUGGGUUCCAUAGUAGGAGUUCUCGUCCUUGCCAUCCUGCUUAUUCUACACUUGAAGAUACCACACUAGGUUUACUGUCCUGCCAUGCCUUGUUUCAUUGAUAUGAAAUAUCUCUCAUACUGGUUUGUAUGUUAUGUAAUAAUUUCUCUUCCUACUCUAAACUUUCAGAUCUUUUCUGUUCUUGGUGAUGUGUCUACUUGUUUAUUUAGAAAAUUGUAAUUAGAAUAUAUGAACGAAUAGAAGCAAUCAUGCACUCUCGGUGAAACAAAAAGUGGCAGU